rnacentral:tRNA from 1 species
GGUUGUAUAGUGUAGCGGUUAUCACUCCGGAUUCUGAGUCCAAAAUCAUCAGAAAGAUUAUUCCGGCAACCCCGGUUCGAUUCCGGGUACGACCU